AUUGAACGCUGGCGGAAUGCUUUACACAUGCAAGUCGAGCGGCAGCGCGGGGCAACCUGGCGGCGAGCGGCGAACGGGUGAGUAAUGCAUCGGAACAUGUCCAUGUCGUGGGGGAUAGCCCGGCGAAAGCCGGAUUAAUACCGCAUACGCCCGAGAGGGGAAAGCAGGGGACCGCAAGGCCUUGCGCGAUUGGGUUGGCCGAUGUCCGAUUAGCUAGUUGGCGGGGUAAAGGCCCACCAAGGCGAUGAUCGGUAGCUGGUCUGAGGGGAUGAUCAGCCACACUGGGACUGAGACACGGCCCAGACUCCUACGGGAGGCAGCAGUGGGGAAUUUUGGACAAUGGGGGAAACCCUGAUCCAGCCAUUCCGCGUGAGUGAAGAAGGCCUUCGGGUUGUAAAGCUCUUUUGUCCGGAACGAAACGGUUGCGGUGAAUAUCCGCGACUACUGACGGUACCGGAAGAAUAAGCACCGGCUAACUACGUGCCAGCAGCCGCCGUAACAC
rnacentral:rRNA from 1 species